rnacentral:lncRNA from 1 species
AGAGAAGUAGAGAGAUUGAAAAAGAUAUAUUUGAGCCUUGCGUAACUCGUUUCUUGUGGGGUAUUUUUCCUAUCCAUUUCUUCUUCUGUAUGCUAACUCAUAUUUCUUUCGUAUUUCUGCUUUCCGGAUUGUUUAUUUCUGUGUAAGUCACCCCAGCAUCUGUGCUUCAAAUUUUUUGUUUUUUUUAACUUUCAUGAGCUUCCCGUGUCAGAUCUUGGUCGGUUCUU